CCAGACUCCUACGGGAGGCAGCAGUGGGGAAUAUUGGGCAAUGGGCGCAAGCCUGACCCAGCAACGCCGCGUGAAGGAAGAAGGCUUUCGGGUUGUAAACUUCUUUUAUUCGGGACGAAGAAAGUGACGGUACCGAAUGAAUAAGCCACGGCUAACUACGUGCCAGCAGCCGCGGUAAUACGUAGGUGGCAAGCGUUAUCCGGAUUUAUUGGGUGUAAAGGGCGUGUAGGCGGGAAUGCAAGUCAGAUGUGAAAACUCAGGGCUCAACCCUGAGCCUGCAUUUGAAACUGUAUUUCUUGAGUGCUGGAGAGGCAAUCGGAAUUCCGUGUGUAGCGGUGAAAUGCGUAGAUAUUAGGAGGAACACCAGUGGCGAAGGCGGCCUGCUGGACGACAACUGACGGUGAGGCGCGAAAGCGUGGGGAGCAAACAGGAUUAGAUACCCUCGUAAUA
rnacentral:rRNA from 1 species